GAUGAACGCUGGCGGCGUGCUUAACACAUGCAAGUCGAACGGUGAAGGCGGAGCUUGCUCUGCUGGAUCAGUGGCGAACGGGUGAGUAACACGUGAGCAAUCUGCCCCUGACUCUGGGAUAAGCGCUGGAAACGGCGUCUAAUACUGGAUACGAGCUGCGAAGGCAUCUUCAGCAGCUGGAAAGAAUUUCGGUCAGGGAUGAGCUCGCGGCCUAUCAGCUUGUUGGUGAGGUAAUGGCUCACCAAGGCGUCGACGGGUAGCCGGCCUGAGAGGGUGACCGGCCACACUGGGACUGAGACACGGCCCAGACUCCUACGGGAGGCAGCAGUGGGGAAUAUUGCACAAUGGGCGCAAGCCUGAUGCAGCAACGCCGCGUGAGGGACGACGGCCUUCGGGUUGUAAACCUCUUUUAGCAGGGAAGAAGCGAAAGUGACGGUACCUGCAGAAAAAGCGCCGGCUAUCUACGUG
rnacentral:rRNA from 1 species